AUCUCGAAUUUAGAAGAGCUAUUUAUUUUAUUGUAAUAAAUAUUUAUAAGAUGUAGCGAAAUGUUAAUAUAUCUAGUUUUCUAAGAAAGUUUAAUUUUUUUAUAUUUCUGGGGAUGAGCUUGGGAUAGGAUUAGAAGUUUUGUUAUAGUCUAUUUAUUAGAAUUUAUUAAUUAAUUUUUAUAUUAAUAAUGAUUAAAUUAGUAUAAGAUUAGAAAAAGGAACUCGGCAAAAAUUCUUCACCUGUUUAUUAAAAACAUGGCCUUUUGAUAAUUAUUUAAGGUCUAACCUGCCCGCUGAGGCCGCGGUAUUUUGACCGUGCAAAGGUAGCAUAAUAAUUAGUUUCUUGAUUGGAAGCUGGAAUGAAUGGUUGAAUGAGGGAAUUACUGUCUCUUUUUAAUAAAAUUUUAUUUUUAAGUUAAAAAGCUUAAAUACAUUUAAAAGACGAGAAGACCCUAUAGAGUUUUACUUUGGUUGGGGCGAUUGAAAAAUUAAAUAAACUUUUGAUUAUUAGAUUAAAUUACCUUAGGGAUAACAGCGUAAUCCUUUUUAGAGUUCUAAUCGAUAAUAGGGUUUGCGACCUCGAUGUUGGAUUAAAAUUAAUCUUGGUGCAGAAGCU
rnacentral:rRNA from 1 species